rnacentral:rRNA from 1 species
GACGAACGCUGGCGGCGUGCUUAACACAUGCCAGUCGAACGGAAAGGCCCUGCUUUUGUGGGGUGCUCGAGUGCCGAACGGGUGAGUAACACGGGAGUAACCUGCCCUUGACUUUGUGAUAACUUCAGGAAACUGGGGCUAAUACCGGAUAGGAGCUACUGCUUCAGGGUGGAGGUCGGAAAGUUUCGGCGGUUGGGGAUGGACUCGCGGCUUAUCAGCUUGCUGGUGGGGUAGUGGCUUACCAAGGCUUUGACGGGUAGCCGGCCUGAGAGGGUGACCGGCCACAUUGGGACUGAGAUACGGCCCAGACUCCUACGGGAGGCAGCGGUGGAGAAUAUUGCACAGUGGGCGGAAGCCUGAUGCAACGACGCCGCGUGCGGGAAGACGGCCUUCGGGUUGUAAACCGCUGUCGCCUGUGACGAAGAGUGAGUGACGGUAAUGGGUAAAGAAGCACCGGCUAACUACGUG